rnacentral:rRNA from 1 species
AGUGAACGCUGGCGGUAGGCCUAACACAUGCAAGUCGAACGGCAGCACAGUAAGAGCUUGCUCUUACGGGUGGCGAGUGGCGGACGGGUGAGGAAUACAUCGGAAUCUACUUUUUCGUGGGGGAUAACGUAGGGAAACUUACGCUAAUACCGCAUACGACCUACGGGUGAAAGCAGGGGAUCUUCGGACCUUGCGCGAUUGAAUGAGCCGAUGUCGGAUUAGCUAGUUGGCGGGGUGAAGGCCCACCAAGGCGACGAUCCGUAGCUGGUCUGAGAGGAUGAUCAGCCACACUGGAACUGAGACACGGUCCAGACUCCUACGGGAGGCAGCAGUGGGGAAUAUUGGACAAUGGGCGCAAGCCUGAUCCAGCCAUACCGCGUGGGUGAAGAGGGCCUUCGGGUUGUAAAGCCCUUUUGUUGGGAAAGAAAAGCAGCAGGUUAAUACCCCGCUGUUCUGACGGUACCCAAAGAAUAAGCACCGGCUAACUUCGUG